UACAGAGGUCUCAAGCGUUGUUCGGAUUCAUUGGGCGUAAAGGGUGCGUAGGCGGCGCGGUAAGUCGGGUGUGAAAUCUCGGGGCUUAACUCCGAAACUGCAUUCGAUACUACCGUGCUUGAGGACUGGAGAGGAGACUGGAAUUUACGGUGUAGCGGUGAAAUGCGUAGAUAUCGUAAGGAAAACCAGUGGCGAAGGCGGGUCUCUGGACAGUUCCUGACGCUGAGGCACGAAGGCCAGGGGAGCAAACGGG
rnacentral:rRNA from 1 species